UACGUAGGGUGCAAGCGUUGUCCGGAAUUAUUGGGCGUAAAGAGCUCGUAGGCGGUUUGUCGCGUCGAAUGUGAAAACCCCGGGGGCUCAACCCCCGGGCCUGCAUUCGAUACGGGCAGACUAGAGUUCGGUAGGGGAGUCUGGAAUUCCUGGUGUAGCGGUGAAAUGCGCAGAUAUCAGGAGGAACACCAGUGGCGAAGGCGGCGCUCUGGGCCGGAACUGACGCUGAGGAGCGAAAGCGUGGGUAGCAAACAGG
rnacentral:rRNA from 1 species